rnacentral:lncRNA from 1 species
GAGAGUGUGGGGUGGGGAUGGGGAGCGUUUGUGGGCUGUGGGCGUGUGUGUGAGCCGUGUAUGGGGGCGUGGAGAAGGUGCGGGCGGGUUUGUUUCUACCAUUCCCAGUAAAAAACCAUAGCAACGAAGACGCAUGACUGGACACGUUUGUUCAAAGCUGUGGGGGGGGCGGCGAUUCAUCCAAGGCAUGUGGUCCUGUUGUGCGCGUGUUGUCCGUGUUGCCUGGGCGGGCAGGUCGGGCUGCGCUACAGGUGCAAGCAGUCCCCAGCAGUCGCAGUACACAGGCCACCCAAAGGACUCGCCACCACUCCUGCAAACCCCCAACCCUCCACCCCCACCCCCGUCCAUCCCUCCCGGGACCUCAUACGCUUUUGGGCCAAUCAUUCCGUUCGCCAUGGACGACUAACCCCCCUAACGGCUAGCUUAGCUUGGUUCGCUUCAGUUUGGGCUGGUAUUUUCAAUCCCCCCCCCUCCUCCUCCCCCUCCCCCCUCUGUACCAUUGCUCCUGGCUACGCCCUCUCGUCUUAUUUAACAUGCAUGGAAUCCCCCUCCCCCUCCUCCUCCUUGCAGGUGCACGUGGUGUUCCCGGCCGCCAGCGAUGCGGUGAUGUUCUGUCUGGCGGCGCACCAGGCCGCCAUGGAGCUGCCCUGGCCGGAGCCGCUGCUGGACCACGAGCUGGCGGAGGAGCUCAUCGUGGGAGAUGCCGUGGUGUUCAGGUGUGUGCAUGUGUGGGUGGGUGGGGGGUAAGCUGUACGGAGUGAUUACAUCACGAAACCCAAGGAGCCGGACACGAGAACGCGAGACAGACAAGUUUUGUGUGGUGGUGGGGGGGCAGCCGGUGGAGCGGGAAUGAAUGUGCGAGGGGCGGGAUGGUGGCAGUCAGCGGCAGGUCCGGACGGCACCCGGGGUCUGUAGCUGGUGGGUGGGGUUGGGUGGUAGCUGCCCUCCCCCCCAUUGUUGCCUCCCCCCCCCCGCGCCUGAAACCCCAACCACACCCCAAGAUUGCCUACCAUCUACCACUUUCUGAACUGGUCAUGAAUGCAACCCCACCCCUGCCCCCCACCCUGCAACGCCGCCGCCGCCACCCCCCAGGGGCCUGCGGCUCAAGAGCGGUGUGGACACGGGACACGCGGUGGGCGAGGUGAACGCGCUCACGGGCCGCAUCUGCUACCGCGGCAAGGUGGUGGCGCGGGCGGCGCGCGUCAUGCAGAACGCCAGCAGCAACCAGGUGGGGUCGGGGUGGUGGCGGGCGGGGAGGGGGUUACAUUCAUGACUUAGGUAAGGACGUGGGGGCGGCGGUGGUGCUGCUGCUGCUGCUGCUGCUGCUGCGGCUGCUGUCGGUCGGAGGGUUUGGAGCAGUGCUCUGCCCUGCCGCUGCCCUAGGAGUAGCAGUUUAGUCCCGAUGCGGACGUAGGGCUCCCGCAUCCCCCGUUGGGCUUGGGCGUCUUACAACCCAACUCCCUCCUAUGACUUAGUGGGACCUAGGCUCUAGGCUUGGGCAUUUAACUUCUCCCCCUCCUCCUGAUCCUUCUCCUCCUCCUCCUGGUGCUGCCCCCACGCCGCAGGUGCUGACCAGCGGUGAGGCCUGGGCGGCGGCGCUGGCGGGCAAUGCCGCGGUGCUUCAGCUGCGGGGCGUGGUGGGCGACCGCCUGGGGCCCUUCAAGCUGAGGGGCGUGGCGGAGCGCGUGGAGGUGGUGCAGGUGGGCGGGGAGGGAUUGGGUGGGAUUGGGAUGGGAGCAACAUGGGGCGGGACUGGGAAGGGGAAGUAAGGGGGAAUGUGCCCCGAAGGAGAGAGGGAGGGACUAAGCUCCAUAGCAAUGUGUGGCUACGUGAGGCGGGGCCGUGUGUGCCUCCAGCUGUCACCAUUCGGACCCUCUCCACCAACAUCGCCGCCUUCUACAUACCGGUAGCCAUGCCUGGAACCCCCCGCCAAACAACAACUGCAAGCUUUCGAACACCUCUGACCUUCUCCCCCGCCGCUCAUAACAUUAUCAAAUUCUUGAGACGCCUUGGCCCUUGACACGCCUCUCCACACAUAUGCAACCCGGCGCGCGCAGGUUCGGCUGCGGCGACUGGAUCUGCCGGGGGCAGAGGGCUGGGCGCAGGACCUUCAACAGGCGGGGGACGGCGGCGCCGGCGCAGAAGGCGGCGCCGGCGACACCGCCAGUGGCGACGGCCCGCAGAGCACACGCCCCGGCAGCCUGGCGGCGGUGGACCUGGCGGCGGCUGCUGGCGGCGGCUCCGAACGGCCGAUGUCGGGCAGCAGGUUUGGGUUCUUGGGCCGUCGGUCCAGCCAUGCAGCCAUGAUGCCCCCCGUGAACGGCACGGACCACAGCGGACGCGGCGGCGCCGCGAUGGCGCCGCCGCUGUUGCCGGCGUCGCGGCUCGGCGCCGACGGCCCGGGCAGCCCUCGCCUGUUUGGCGGGCUGCUGCGCUCAGCACGCGCGCAGAGCUUCAGCGCGGCGACGUCGGGGCUCAUAGCGCGCAUGACGGGCCGCGGCCGCGCCGGCAACGGCAACGGCAGCGGCAACGGCAGCGGCGCCCCCUCGCGCAUGCACACCUCGAACCAGGGCGCAGAGGGCAGCGGCGACAGCGGCUCCGCCGCCGCCAGCGGCGGCGGCGUCACCAUUGCGAGUGGCAGCGUGGCGGCGCUGCAAGGCGCGCCCGACGGCGGCGCCGUGCCUGCCGCCGCGAAUGCGCACGGCGGCGGCGCCAGCGGCGGCGUUCCUUCUGGAGGCGUGCUGCGCAGCCUGAGACUCGUCAGCGGUGGCAUGGGGACCGGCGCAGCCGGCGCAGGCGCGGGCGUGAUGGGCGGCACGCCUCGUGGCACGUCGGCGGGCGUGGCGUUCCCGUUCACCUCCGCGCGGCGGCUGCUGCCGUCAUGGGGCAGCACCGGCCAGGGCCAUAGCAGUCAAGACGUGGCGGCGGUGGUGGCGACCUCCAUUCCCGCCAACCGCGGCGGCGCCAGCAACUCCUCCAACAGCCAUCCCUACAUUACCGAUGCUGAUGUUGGCGCCGCCGCCGCCGCCACUGCUGAUGCCGCUGCGGCGGUGCCAUUGCCACCCCCAGUGUCAAUGCCAGCGGCGGCGCUGGCCCUGCCGUCGCAGGCGGCUGAUACUCUGCCUGGCGGCGGCGCCGCCACCGCCGGCUCUGCCGCCGCCGCGGCGGCGGCGACAGCAUCCUUGGUUGCUGGCGGUGCCAACCCCAUAUCUCCCAAGGCCGUCGACGCGGCGGCCCUUACGACGGCGGUGCCGGUGAGCGGGCCCGGUGCCGUCAGCGGUGGCGCGCCGUCAAGCGACGGGCCGGGCUGGUUCCCAGGGGAGAUGCUGGCAGACGUGUUGCAUGGGGUGCAGGAGGAGGACGAGGCGGCGGCGGCGGUGGCGGUCGCAAGAGCGGUGUCGGGUGUGGGCAUGGUCGGCGCGCUGGCGGCGGCGGCCGGGGGCCGGCAGCUGGCGGGCGGUCCGGCGGCACGCGAUGGCUCCGCGACCGUAUCGUAGUGCCUAAGGACAACGCAGCGUGUGUGGUGGCCACGAGCAGCACGGGCUGAGUUCGCGUGAAUGGGUGUAAAUGUCAGGUGUAUCCGUGUAUGGGCUCUGUUUGUAGUGCCGUAACUCAGGUACGACUUGUAGACUCAGUGCUGUUUGCAGGGCGCGGAGAAACGAGAGGGGCGUGUGCAUCCCUUGCGUGUAUGUAUCAAGGUGGUGUUUCUAGGGGGGGGGGCACGUCGCAACUUCAUCGGAAGGGCAUAGAAUAGAACAUUCGCACAGCCCCCCCAUUGACGUUCCAGGCACGCGGGUCGGUUCUCAAUGGGAUGUCCCGGUGCAAAAAUCAGGAGGACUGUCUUUAAAGUACAACAUAACAUCAGUUCUUGCUUUUCGACACUGGGUGCCGGCGGUGGCGCUGCUUGUGGCGGCCGGCCGGCCUCAACCGCGAAAGUGCCUCCACGGAUGGGGGCACAGACCCGGCGGCCGGGGAUCUCGCUGGACUACGCGACUGGCCGCUCUGCUGCGGGCUGCGAGCGUUAUAACAAUGCAGCCAUCAUCGCGCAUGAAGAGUGAGAAGCGUUUAGCUAAUCAGUGGGGCGCUGUGAUUCGCGCGGGCCGGCCUCUAACUGCCUAUAACGCCUCCGAUUCCGUCGUCUUGUGACUAUUUAUUGUGCCGGCCGCACACGCCCCUUCAAGCGGUAGAAGCUGCCGCAGCGUGAGGCGCGUGAGGGUUCCCAAGUUUAAAAGGGUGGCCCCUAUCGGGAUCGAACCGAUGACCUUGGCGUUAUUAGCACCACGCUCUAACCAACUGAGCUAAGGGGCCAGGUACUGAAUAGAUCUGAUCAUACCCAAAAUUCCGUCAUUUCCGCGCUUCCGGCGCGCCAUUCGGCAGCCCCGUCCUACGCAUUACGGACAUGGUACGCGUGCCGCCACAGCCUCCGCGCCUCCUGCCCAACAGGUGUGGCUGCAGUGGGGCCGAAAUGGCCGAUGCGUGCCGCUGACGCAAUUGUAAGUAAGGAAAUGAAGUGAGUCAGAGCCUGGCCCCUUAGCUCAGUUGGUUAGAGCGUGGUGCUAAUAACGCCAAGGUCAUCGGUUCGAUCCCGAUAGGGGCCACCCUUUUGCGGCACAAGCACCUCUCGCGUCCGAGCGCCCGCGAAGGCCGUGCUCGGUCUGUAAGCUUUCUCAUGAGGGAUUUGCAAACUUCUGGUUGUAGGUUCGAGCCUCACGGCGGGCGCCACGAGGAUGCGAUAUAAUUUAAGCGACAGCGCCACAAGCCCCGAAUGAGAAUGUUUUCUUAAAUCUCGGCGCGCAUGUUCGGAGCAGAGGGGGCGGGCAAGGCCACGUGGAGGAGGACAGCGCGGCGCCGCCUUCAAAGCGGCGCCGGCGCGCAGGUUGAGACCUGCCGGUGUUGUCUGGUUAGCGACCUGUGCUGACGAGGAUGGCGUAGCGGGCAGUCAGCUGCAGCGGCAAGGGUGUUGAGAGGUUUUCCUUGCUGUCUGGUCGGCCUGCUGCCUGCUGCACUAGUGCUUGAUAGCUGGGCGCGACUGGGCACAUAUGGCGGGCGGUGCCUGUACAAACCGACCCCGGCUAUGUCCGGGAGAUGAGGCUAGUAUCGGAACCUUCGGCCUCAGACGGAGGACGUGGCGUGGGCUCAGCCCACUUUUCCCUUGCGAGGGAGAGCCACCUUUUCUUGUCUUCCUACGGCCCUUCCUACCGUCGGCCCCCAACCUGCGCAUUACAGACACGGCGCGUGUGCCGCGGGAGCUGCAGUCCGAGCCCGUGUGCCGGCGGCGUGGCGGGUGGCGGCGCCGGCCACACUGCAUGCACCUGGCGGCGCGGCCUCUGCACCUCCUGCCCCCAGGUAUGGCUGCUAUUUGCGCAGAGCCUGGGCGGCAGGGCGCUGAAGUGCCGCUGAAGUGCCGCUGAAGUGCCGUUGCUGAACCUCACGGUGAAGCAGGCAGCCCAGCCUCAACUUGCACCUGCAUAUGACGCGCUACACGUGCAUCACUUGGCUUUCAUCCAAGAGGCCUACAGCGGUGCCGUGCCGCCAGUGGAAGCGAUUCAUGCUCUGCGUGGGGCCCUGGCACGGCUGUGGGCUCUGGUGUGGGAGCCGUGACACAAGGAACCACUCUGGCGCCUGGCAGCCAAUGGAGUAAUGGCAGAGGUGAGUAAUGGGCUUUGGGAUGCUUGCGGCUUUGGCCGGGGAUGGGCGUGUGAUGAAAUGCCUGUGAGGAACUCAGAUGACUGCUGGGGCUAGGGUUCACCACUUCUGGGACUGUGUAGUGGCGGAGGCUCUGCGUGAUGUGUUGCGGGAGCAUGCAAUUGUGGACAUCGCACAGUUGUGGUUGGUUCAGGCAGUGGUUGGCGAGGUCAAUCAGGGGGAUGGGCAGCAUCGUGGCGGACUGUGAGGAGGUGCCCGUGCCGGUGCCGGUGCUGCUGGCGGUGUUAUUGACGUGCUUGAAGAAACGCAACACGCACUGACGUUGUAGAGCCGAGGUCAGUAAGCUAGCACAUGCAAAAAGAAAAGCGUGAGCAUGAGCAGCGACCGCAACUGCUACGUUACCUUUGACGAGAUAGCCGCGCGCCAAGCUGCGCCACUCCGGCGUCCUAAAGCAUGUGACUCUCAGCUGGUGUAAACGGCUGUCAGAGGCUGGGCUGGCGUAGACUGGCCGCAGACUACCAAGCGAAGGCUGCGAUGCAUUGUGAUAGCGCGAACCCCAAGAGACCCACCUGGAACGCAGCCAGGUAUCCGCUGUGAGCCAGGAGUAGUACGUACAUGCGAGGACAAGAGGAACGAGAACGGCAGAAAGGAGGGUGCGGCAUGGCGGUUGUCAAAACGUUGAGGCUGGCGCAGAAAACAAACCAGGGUGGCUGCCUAGCUGCGGCCGGGCUGAUGCGAAGGCUGACUGGCUGCUGUGAAUGGUGAGCCGAGACUGGUAUGAAAGGCUGGUGCCGGCCAGGCGAGUUGCGCCGCUGCAUGGGGACAUGAUUCGCUGACGGGUGCGGACCGUAGUACGGUGCUGCCGACGGCGGCUGGCGGGCCGGCAAUGGAGCGGCUGGUCACCUGCACACCACAUCGCACACGAACAUACAGCGCACAUGAACACACAGCGGACCAGGAAGGAAAACCCUCGACGGGUGCAAGGAGCGGCUUGAUGUGGCUCCAGCAACAACGACAACAACAACAGCAUUCUUAUGACUUGACGAGCCUUCUUGCUUUUUGCUGCUCGCUAUUACCACCUCUCGCACCCACCAAUGCAACCCGCACCCAACCUACCAAGCCCACCUGACCCACGCAUCUACGCAUGACGCCCAGGCGAACUCCGCCAGGCUCGCACGCCGCCGCGGCACCGCCCGGGCAAGCGGCAGCGCAGCGCCGCCGCAGCGCCCACACCUGCCGCAUCCAGUCCCGCUUGGCGGUAGCCAGGGAGCGCGCGCUGCAACAUGUGUUUGGUAAAAAGAGCACAAUGGAGGUUAAGCGCGAAGGCUGUGUGUGCGAUGCACGUGUUUGUGUAUGUUUUGUGUGUUUGUGACUUUGUGUGCUUGUGUGUGUUUGUGACUUUGUGUGUUUGUGUGUGUUUGUGGAGGGGGUAUUUUACUUUUACUCCACCGAGACCCAGCACCCGCCCAACGAGCACGGGAAGGGGGGGGCGGGGGCGACAGGAGCAGGAGGUGCAUGAGGGUGUGUUUGGUGUACAUGGGGCCAGCUGGGCACCAGGGGUGCUGGGCACCACCUGCAGGCGCUGAGCACAAGGUGGCUGUGGGCGCGUGCGGCCGUACACGCACCCGGCAUACAUGCGCGGCGCCCUGCCCGCCCACGAUAUUCGGGCCCCCCAGCAGCACAACACCUGAACACUUGUUUAUGCCCCGCGCGGUGCCCCACCCACCGGUCCUCCACCCACUCCGCUGCCCCGCCCCCACCCCACCAAACCACCCACCAGGUCGCUGCCCGCCAGCGCCUCCACCGCCUCCGCCGGGAACUCCUCCACACACGAGGGCUGCCAGCCGCCGCCCAAUGACAAUACCCCAUGUCAACCCCCUCAUACCCGGGGGCCACCGCCUCCUCCCCCUCUCCCUGCCCCUCCUCAUCUGGCGGCGGUGGCGGCGGCAGUACGUCAAAGGUAGCCAACAGCCAUAUGUAGCUUCUGGCUCGAAGGCGCUUACGGAUUUGCACGGAAAGCUACAUUACCGUAAUACAUAGUGACGGGACACCAGGACUCAUCGACCAUCCAACGCUCGCAGGUCGCCGCUGCUCUGGAGACUGGAUGCUGGAGCCUGAGGACUGGACUGGAGGAUGAAGCUGGCCAGUUGACGUUGAUGUUGUUUAGUUCGUUAGGAUGCACGCACGUUGGUCGGUCGGUCUCUACUGCCUUGUCUACUGCUCAGUGCGGCUCUUGCACGCGUGUGCGGUUCUAGACUGCAUGUCUAGCACAUUCACGCGCCGGACUUCCACCGGUCCGGUCCGGCGGCCCCCUCGAUUCUAUCUCGAGCCUUUGAUGGGGCGCUCUGUCACUGUGGCUGCUGGGUAAAGCGUAGCCAGGGGGGCUUACGUCCCUUCCUUGGGGUGUGUGAGGAGUUGGUGGACUUCAGACCCCUACGCCGUGUGGGGGGUCGGACUGGGUGGAGAGACUUGACCACAACAAUGCGUGCGCUUAACGCGAAUGAUCUCGAACGCGAAUGAUCUCGACGCGAAUGAUCUCGGCGAGGCGUUACAGAAUCGCGCGUGGGGCCCGCGGGUCGGUAGCAAAAUGGGAUGUCUCUGGGAGCCCGCUGGAUCAAAAGCGCUGUCACAACUCAAACGGAGGACAGUCGUUAAAGCACACCAUCUGUUUAUUCUCGUCUAGUUUGCGAACAUCAGCAACUGCCCUCGGCGUGGUUAUUACUGCAGUCAGCAGAGGUUGCUCUGAAUCGAAAUACCCGCACGACUCAGAGCAGUUUUCGGCUCGACCAGCAGCGCCAGCGUCAGCAGCCGUGCCGCCCGGCGCGGCGGCGCCACCCGCAGCGGACGCGUCAUAUUGCGUCUCCUCUUAAGAGCUUUCAUGUACCUCCAGAAGGCAGUUGUGUGCUCGGGGCUUACGUCGCUAUUACUGCUGGCGGACUCCGAGCCAGCUCGGCUCGGCUCGGCUUGCUCGAGUCAGCCAGUAGCGAUAGCGAUGUAAGCCCUGAGCUCUUUAGGCGGGUCGAGGGGUUGCCGCUGUGUGCGGGUGGCACCGCUGGCUGCCGGCGCUGGCGCUGCUGGUGGCGCCGCUGCUGCUGCUACUGCUGGGGCCAGACCCGCCGCCACCACCGCCGUUGCCGUCACUGCGGCGCAGGCCGCGCUCUACCAAGCAAGCAGCAUCUCCAUCAGCUCGGCAAGGCUGAGGUGCUCCAUGGCACGUAUUGGGGCGCACCUGGCAGACCCGCUGCCAUCGCCACGCGAGCAUCGCGGAUGCCGUUGCUGUCGUACAGUUAGGCACGGCGGCAGGAUUGCAGCAGAGGUGCACGCGUGGCAUUCGCAUAGAGACCGAGUUCAUAUAAAAGCUGUGUGAGGUGGUGUUGGCUGGCGUAGCUAGGCCGGGUGCUGGUAGAUAGCCGUACAGGGUUGCGUGGCGGCGCUGGCGGCGGCCGUCGGGAAUGGGUAUGCGGCUAUGCGCACGGGUAUGCGCGGGCGUUGCAUGGGGCGGCAGAGGCGUUUUCCUUGCAUGCGUGCGUGUGUUUGUGUGUGUGUGUGUGUGGGGGGGGGGGGCGGGGGGUAGUUCAUUCCAAUUCCAACGAAACCAACAUCCAGACCCAGACCCAGAGGGGUUGCGCUCAAAGUAAUGAAUGUCCGCUUUGCCCUCUCGCGCACAAACGGUUGCAGCCGGUUGCGGCCACCUGCACUCGGAAUCUUCUUUGUGCUCGCAUAUGUAUCAGCCAGCCCUGUGCUCCUACGUGCCUCCUUGCCUACGUAUGCCGGCCCCCCCAAUCUCAGUUGCACGCAAAAGGGUUCGCCACCCCCGCCUUCUGCCGAGGGCGCCACCGCCCCACGCCGCCCUGACGUCCAUCACCUCCGCACCAGCCCGCACACAAACCCACCUGCACCAGCACCCAAGCACGCCCAAACAUUGACGCCAUGCAAUCACCCACACACAGUCCUGCGCAGCGGAUGGCUCUUUCGCAGCACCGCCAGCAGCACUGGCCCUCUACCUAAUGUCACCCUUCCGCUCCUCGCCAACCGUUCUUAAACAGACCUUGCAACGUUUGCGUCACGCUCUCCUUGAACCAUACUAAUUCAAGCGCCACACGCCUGCCUCAUUCCAUCAACCGCUAACAGACGGUAAUCCCCGUACAAGCUCCCAGCGCCCAACACCAAUGGUAGUUUAGUUGGUCUCCAUGGGCGCCUCGGAGCUGGCCUCGGGCCCGGGGCUGGCCUCGCUCUCCAUCGGCUCAGGCGAGGCGGCGGCGGCGUCCGCGGCACCCGGCUCCGCGGCGGCGGGCGCGGGCGGCGCCGCGGGCGCGGGCGCUGGCCGCGACAGAAUGGGCUUGCACACGCGAUCCACUGCGGCACGAGGGGAAGCGGGUAAGUCAAAAGCGGCAUUGCGCCACGCACUGUUUUGAAACAAGCUAAAGUGCGGCACGCGCUGUUUUGCAAAGACCAUUGCAUCCCUCAGUGGCCGUACCCCUCACCCCAACGACUCACGGGUUUCCCGCUUCUUGUUGAUGUCGGCGGUGAGGAGCGCGGGCUCGUCGGCCUUGGACAGCUUGGACUGCAGAGCCAGCCGCUCGUCUGGACAGGCCACGAGCAGCAACAGCGGCAGCGGUAGCAGCAACAGUCAGCAACAACAGGCGUAGCAAGGUUGUAGCGGCGACGUGGAUCUGGGGACAAGGCAGAGCCAGGAAACGCCGCUAGCUCCUGCCCCGCAACUUGCAUACCUUGGGUUUACCCGCGCCACCCAAAACCCACCGCCCGUACCCGCCCAUCCCCGUCACUCACUCAGCCACGCCAGCGCCGCGUCACACUCCUUGACCACGGCCGCCUUCUCCUCCGCGGGGAUGUGCGCUAGGCUGGGCUUGUCGCCCUUGGCGCUGUCCAGGUAGGAGGCGGCGGCGGCGCGCAGGGCCUCCACCGCGGGGCCGCGCGACUGGUCCUCGGCGUAGCGGCCCUCCACGGGCGCGCCCUUGGCCUUGAGCUCCUCCAGCUUGGAGGUGUAGACCGACUUGGUGGUGUCCUCGCCCUGUGGGGUUUAGUUUUGGGGGUGCAGUGGGAGCGGGAGCGGGGGCAGUAAUGGGUUGGAUGGGGUUGUGGGGUUGGGGUUUUGGGUUGGGGUUUGGGGUGCCCAGGCCUGCUGUAAAUGUAUGACGGCAGGGUGUGGGACCGCGUUUGCAGACCCGCUCCGCUUCCGCGCCCUCAGCACGACGCGCAUGAAGCCCAGUCCUCCCCGUACACCCUCCGCCGCCACCCCUCACCUCGUCGUAGAGCCAGUCCUCCAUGGCCGUCAGCUGCGCCUGCAGCACCUUCUUGUCCGCCUCCUUGAUGAAGGGCGCGUACACGUCGUACAGCUUGUUGCGCAGCUCGUACACGUAGCUGCGGGGGGGGCACAUUCAUGAUUAGCUAAGUGGUAAACGGUAGGCAAUGUUUGGGGGGGUUACAUUCAUGAUUAGUUAAGGAAGUGGGGGGGGGCGUGUGAGGGUUUGUGCAACAUUAAGGACAUACAGUGCUUGUCACGAUGUGUCCAAUCUCAGCUCUCAAGGCCCUGGCCACCUCGAGGGCCCGUGCCCGGAACAGAGCCUGCCACGCCGUCCAACCCGUGCCCAUCCCCAUGCCAGUCCCAUCCCAGGGCACAAGCAACCGCACCCCCUCCCCCUCUCCACCCCUGCCCUUCUCACCCCUCCAGCGCGUUCUUGCGCUCGUUGGUCUCCUCCUGCAGGCGGUCCGCCGCCUGCAUCUGGCACUCCUUCUCAAAGAAGUCGUCCAGCUGCGACUUGGAGUAGCCGCACGCGCCCACACACUGGACUGGCACGUCCGUCUUCUUCACCUGGGGGGAUGGGGUUACAGUCAUGGUUCACUCAGGAGAAAGGAAGUGGUGUUACAUUCAUGAUCAGCUUAGGAGAAGCGAAGUGGGGUUACAUUCAUGAUUAGCUAAGGAUUUGGUGGACGGUAGGCAAUGGGGUGGGGAAGGAGGAUGGGGGAUGAAGGGAAGCGGGAGGGGGAGGAGUUGCGGACGUGAAUGACCCCGGGGAGGCUGAGAGAAGCACAAGGGAGAGUACCGUAAUCGCUUCGCCGAGAGUCUGUGCCUGCUGCGCUGCGUGGCGUGGGGGCCGAGCUGCUGUGUGCGUCGGUUCCUUCCCGACGCAGUGAUUCACUCAUGCGAGAUAGGCGCGGCGCCACAGCACAGCGCAGCACAAGCGCCCCCAAUUCCCACUGACCUUCUUCUUCUUGGGCGCGGGCGCGGGGGUGGCGUCCAUGGGCGCGGCCUCGCCGUUGGCAGGGGCGGCGGCGUCGUCCAUCUUGGCGUCAGCGGCGGCGGGGGCGGCGGCGGGCUGCGGGAGGACAGCGGGAGAACAGCGGCGGAGGCGCAUUGGUGUCUACUGACCACACAACAUCCGCGCAUACACACGACCACAGGCCAUUGCUUCCGAUGGGCGCGCUGCCCCCAUUCUCGUGCCCUGUUCCCCCAGCCGGUCCUGUGCCCACUCGCCGGCUUGCCGGCCCCGGGGCCCCCUUAACCCCUUCCCCCGAUCCCUCCCUUGUCCCUCUGCCUCCUCACUUCUUCGGAAAUGGUGACAACGACCCCUACCCUCUAUCCCGUGCCCCUAUCCCGCCCCCAACCCAAAUCCCCGCUCCUGCCCACCUCGGCCAGCUCCUCCUCCUCAAUGGCCUGGCACUGCUCCACGUGCGUGAGGCCGUGCAGGUUCAUGCUGAUCUUGAGCUUCAGCUUGGCGGACUCGGCGCCGGGCGGCACCUGGGCGGGCGGCGAGGCAGGGGGACGGGCAGGCAGGCGGAGGUGAGGUGACGGUAGGUGGGGUGAGGGGCAACGCCAGGAGCAGCACCAGGGGCAGCACCAGGGGUCCGGAGACUCGCCGCCACUACCCCCCUUGGUUUCGGUUUAGGUUGGGCUGGUAUCUGCAACAACCCCCACCCCCACCCCCGGCGGCGGGUCUCAGGCACCCAGGCCGUACGUCCCCACCGUCACAUCCCUUUUCACCUUACCCCACCCCAGUAUGUUCCUGCUGGUCCUCAGUUGCUACUUGACGUCGGCGCUUCAUACACUUUGAUUUCACCACUCCGUUCUCCCCAUGAACGGCUUACCCCUCCCCCUCCCGCCCUCCUCUCCUCCCUCCACCCCGUCGCCGCUCACCGUGAAGGGGCCCACGCUGUACACGCCCAGCUGCUUGUCGAAGGAGGGCGGCAGCAGCUGCGCGGGCGUGUCCAGGUCGUAGUGGGCGCGCACGCUGAAGGGCUGCGCGCGGUUGAACGAGAUCAUCUUGGUGCUGGGGAAGGCCUCGCCUGCAGGCAGGAGAGGGGGUUAAGUGCAUGGUUAUUCUAGAGCUGGAAGGUGGAGUGAGUGAGUGAGUGAGGAGUGGGUGACGAGUGAGGAGGGGUUGAGAAGAGGAGUGGGCGAGGAGGAGUGGGUGAGUGGGGAGCGGGCGAGGAGGGGGUUACAUUCAUGAUUAGUAAAGGCGGGGGUGAAGAGUGGGUGAGGAGUGGGUGAGGAGAAGGGUGGCUAGUUAGGCGAUGGCGGGGAGUAAGGGUUGUGGUGAGGGGGCGUGGGCGGCAACGCAAGCCGCUGUCCCUCCCCGAGCCGUCGGCGCACUACAGCGCCGCUGGCCCACCACCGCUGUGCCCCCUGCCCCUGCCCCUGCCGCUGUCGCUGUCGUCACCCACCGCGCUUGAACAGCGUCUGCGUGACGGUGCUGCCGUCCUUGCCCUCCCAGCUGAAGCACACGCUCAGCGGGCAGGAGUCGAUCACCUCGAAGUCGCGGACCUGUGCGGCGACGGCAGCGGCGGACACAAGAGGAAUGUCACAGAAGUUUAUUACCAGAUGGCGGGGGCGCCAGUCCACGCAGCUAGCCAGCCGUGGGGAGAGUGGGGCUUCCGACUUGCUGCCGUGCCGCAUUUAAGACCUUGGUGCCCUAAGCCAUGGUUCUUGGGCCAGGUGUCCUGAAACACCGCUGGCCGUGCGCCCGCCCCUGCGGUCACCUGCGCCUCUCCAAAAGCACCGCACCCGCCUCACCCCUCGCCAGUCUCACCUACCGGUAUCACCCGCCGCUGCCUGCCCCUGCCCCUGCGCCGCCACUGCCUGCCCCUGCCCUUGCACCACCACCCCUGCACCCCCUCGCCUCCUCACCUUGAACACUGGCGACAGCAUGGCGCACUGCAGGGCGGCGCCGCGGCUGACACACUCCUUGGAGUUCAUGGUGCGGCUGGGGGCCUGUGGGGAGCGGAGUGGAGGGGAGUGGAGUGGAGGGCGGGUGGAGGGCAGGGUUGAUGGGUUAGUGCGGCAGGAGCAGUAGUGGAGCGUCAGAGAAUGCAUGCGGACGAGUGCAGGCUGUGUGGGCGUGAUUGCAGUUGCGCAUGGCGGAAGCUGUGUGGCUGGUGGUGUGUGGGGGGGGUUGUGGGGGAUGUGUCCCGAGUUCUACACCGCAGGGCCCACGAGUCAGGGCCGCUGCAGCUCUAGCUCCGGCCGCGGCGUGAAGCCUGAUGUGGCCCGCAAAUGCAUGACGUUCCAUGCCAUGGUGUUGGGGCACGGCGUCGCCAAUGCAGGCACCACUCACUGCAACAAAAUUUUCCCUGGCCGGCUUUUGUCACCCUGGCCUCAGCCUGCCCGCGCCUUUUGAACCCCCUCCCCCAAAACUGACUUGUACCUCUUCUUUUUGAGCUCGCAUUUACUCACGCCCACCUUGCAUGGAUGGGGUUCGUUGGGCUCGGGCAUCUAAACCCCGUCCUCCUCCCCCUCCCCUCCUCCUUGCCCCCAAACCUGCCCCCAAACCUGCCCCCAAGCCUCCUCCUGCCCCACCUUCUUGAACACCUCUUCCACCACGCGGCACACGCAGGGCGUGCGCGUGGCGCUGCCAAUCACCUCCACGCUGGACAGGUCCUCCACCGUCAGGCCGCUCUCCGCCAGCGCCGCCUCCAUGGGCGCACGCAGCCUGGCGAUCACUGGCUCCGCCAGCUGCUCAAAAAUCUCGCGCGUCAUCAUGCCGCUGCAGCAGUUGGUGGUUGGGGAGCGGCAUUAGGGCGGUUGGUGGUGUGCUCCCAUUGUCAUCAUACCCCCCCCCCCCGCUCUCCCCCCCCCUUGCCUCCCCUGCGUCCUCCCUGUCUCCACCCGCCCCAGCCUCUCACGUUCGGCUUGCUUCGGGUGCCGGAAUGAAGUACGCCCCCCCCAUCCACCCGCCCCUCACCACCCUGUCCCCCCGCCCCCGCCCCUCGCCCCCCCCCCCUCUCACCGCAGGUCCUCGUCCUCCAUGAUGCACUCCACGUUGAGCGGCGCCUCGCUGUUGGCCGACAGCAUCUUCUUCACCUGCAGGGCGCGAGCGAGUGUGUUGUGUUGUGCUUGUUUUGUGCGUGCGUGUGUGCAUGUAGGUGCUGGUGCUUGUUUGUACUCUGCUGGCCACAACCACAGACCCCUACAAACACACACACACACACACACACACACACACACACACACACACACACACACACACACACACACACACAGCCGCCGCCCCACCUUCUCCACCGCCACGCGCAGCUUGAAGGCGCCCUUCUUGUUGUCACGGAUGUCCAGCUUGGUCUUGGCCCUGUGGGCACACAGGCAGGCAGUGAGAGACACACAGAUUAACAAUGCCACCGACUCCUCCACGACUCCUCUCCAGCAGCGCCGCCGACCUGCUCUUAGCCGGCAUGCCUUGCGCCCUAGCGCCAUGAUUAUUCCCCCCCCUCCCACACACACACUCGUCGUCAUUCCAAAGCACUAGCACGCUAGGUGACACGCCAACAAACUCACUUGAACUCGGCUGCAAAGUGGUCGAACAGCACCUCGUCAAAGUCGCGGCCGCCCAGGUUGCGCUCCCAGGCGUGGGAGCGCACCACCAGCUGCGAGCGCUUGAGCGACACGAUGGCCACCUGAGGGGGGCGAGGAGAAGGCAGGGGGAGAGAAGAAGGGGUGAAAAAACAUUGGGACCAGGAUACAAGCAGGGGGUUCAGGGGACAAUAGGGAGGGGGGAGGGGUUCAGGCGUGGGGUUCAGGGGAAGGACGGGGUCGUAAGGAGGGAGCAGGGCGCUGUUUGCUCAUGAGUCCAAGCAGGGUGCCCACGCCCCUACACACCACACACGUCCCUCAACCCCACAGCCCCACACGCCCAUGGUUUCAACUACCCAACAGCGGUACCUCCACGCCCGUGCCACACGGCCCCCGACGACGCACACGCGCGCACCUGCGUGUGGCUGUGCCCGAUGUCCACGAACGCCACGUGCACGGGGUCAGUCUCCGGCAGGUCGGUCUUGUAGAUGCCGUAAGCCAGGGCAGUGGCGGUGGUCUCGUUGAUCAGGCGCAGGCAGUUCACGCCGGCGAUCUGUUAUCACAUGGGCGGGUUUGGAAUGGGUUUGGAAUGGGCGGUUUCAUCGGGUUGUGGCUUCGACGCGAUGCCGUGCGCGAGCAGGCACCGGCGUGACAAACCCGUUUACGGAUCUUACACGCCCGCUCCUCAAGACAGCCGCCGCGGCGCCUCCUUCCAUUCCGUUUCGCCACCUCUUCCGCACACCUCUUCCACGCCCUGCUCAGGCCCCUUUCCAACUUCUGUUGGGGGUUUCCUCGUUCUGUGUCCCCUGCCCCCCCACGCACAACACACACACACACACAUUCCUUCCACCCUUCCUCCCCACCGCCUCCCCCUACCUGCGCGGCGUUGAGCAUGGCGUACCGCUCCGCCUCCACAAAGUAGUCGGGCACGGACAGGGCGCAGUCGGUGACGGCGAUGCCGCCCUCCGCCUCGGCAAUGCGCUUCAGGUCCACAAUCACCAUGGCCAUGACCUGCGGAGGAGGAGCAGGGG